ACACUCCUGCGGGAGGCAGCAGUGGGGAAUAUUGGACAAUGGGCGCAAGCCUGAUCCAGCCAUGCCGCGUGAGUGAUGAAGGCUCUAGGGUUGUAAAGCUCUUUCACCGGUGAAGAUAAUGACGGUAACCGGAGAAGAAGCCCCGGCUAACUUCGUGGCAGCAGCCGCGGUAAUACGAAGGGGGCUAGCGUUGUUCGGAUUUACUGGGCGUAAAGCGCACGUAGGCGGACUAUUAAGUCAGGGGUGAAAUCCCGGGGCUCAACCCCGGAACUGCCUUUGAUACUGGUAGUCUUGAGUUCGAGAGAGGUGAGUGGAAUUCCGAGUGUAGAGGUGAAAUUCGUAGAUAUUCGGAGGAACACCAGUGGCGAAGGCGGCUCACUGGCUCGAUACUGACGCUGAGGUGCGAAAGCGUGGGGAGCAAACAGGAUUAGAUACCCCAGUAGUCCCAUGAU
rnacentral:rRNA from 1 species